rnacentral:ribozyme from 1 species
GCCUUAAGGUGGAACAGGAUUCUCGGGUUUGAGAAACAUCAAGACAGAAAAUGUCCGAGGAU